rnacentral:sRNA from 1 species
UUUUAUAUUGUAGGCAGCACGUCAAAAAACUAGCAGCCAUUUAGAAAAGAAACUGUUUUUUAGGCCAUUUAGGGAGAGAUUAUAGCUGCCUUGCUUUUCUGGUGCUGUUAUUCAGCCACAUUUCUAGUAUGUCCUUUGUCUAGUCCUCUACCUGUGGAAGUUAGGCGUGAGUUCUGCUCUGAGGAGCCAGUGUGUCUGUGUUGGUAGCUGGCAGUCAUUGGUGACUUCUGAGCUGGAUGGUUCGAAUCGUCCUCCCAUGCCAUCAGUAUGAGCGCCUAUCUGCGAGAACAGAGAAGGGAGCUCUAUAGUCGGAGUGGAGAACUGCAAGG